rnacentral:rRNA from 1 species
UACGUAGGGGGCUAGCGUUGUCCGGAUUUAUUGGGCGUAAAGAGCUCGUAGGCGGCCUGGCAAGUGGAAGGUGAAAUCCCUCGGCUUAACCGAGGAACUGCCCUCCAAACUGCUUGGCUUGAGUCCGGGAGAGGUGAGUGGAAUUCCCAGUGUAGCGGUGAAAUGCGUAGAUAUUGGGAGGAACACCAGUGGCGAAGGCGGCUCACUGGACCGGAACUGACGCUGAGGCGCGAAAGCGUGGGGAGCAAACGGG